GAGUCCAUAUCUCAACAAUGGAUUCCAAACCCCAUUCGCUGCAUCACUCUGCCAUGUUUCCUCUACACUACUUCUCGCCCUAUCCUUCCUCCCGGUUCUCAUCACUGUGCCGAGAGCUCAGGCCAACUUCAAAUGCAGUUCCGGUCCCACCUGUAAUGCUCUCAUCUGUCAUUUCGAAAUAUCACCAACAUCACAGUUGAUGCACGAGCAGACAACCAUGCCCUGAUUCAGAUAUCUCAUUCCAUUCUUAUUUCCGAAUAUUCACUCCAACCCAGAAUCGCUACAACCACGUUUCCAAACACCCACUUUGUCUCCAUUCAGAGUCCAUUCGCCAUGUGCCGAGCUUUGUGUUAGAACUCACCACAUGCAGCUGCUUUGAGGCGCCGGAAACUGGUUGCUGCCCCCUUUUUAACGAAUGAAUAACAGCAGUAGUCGGUGUAAGGACCACGGUUCUGGAGAAGAUUGCACCAUUGCCACAUAUCAUUGCAAUUGCACCAACUUCGGUUGCAUCAAAAUCCAAGUCAAAUACCUCCCCGAGUUCAUUGCAUCAACAGGAUUUUUUUUUACAAGGCCAUGCUCGCUGUGGUACCUGUAUUUUUUUUAUUUAAUUUUGCUUAUUUAUCUGUUCUUUUAUGUUAUUAUUAUUACCAUUACUAUUAUUAUUUUGGUCUUUAUUCUCUUUGUGUUUUGGAGCUUGUAUUUUAAAUUUUGGAGAAGUGGGGAAGUUAGUUUCAUCUAACGCCUGUUUAGCCCGUGAGUGACCACUGACCCCUGUUUUCUGGAGUCUUCUAGACGGUAUAAAAUCUGAGAAGCCGCCUUUGUUAUACGGUGAGCGAUUUUUUUUGGCGUUGGGUUUCUGAAUCUCUGUUGAUAGAGAAAGCUAGAGAGGAGAGAGAGAGUGAUCUUUGACCAUUCUGGAUCUCUGUUGAGAGAAAAACUGGAGAAAUCGAGAGCGAAAGAGAUUUUUGGCCAUUCUUCUAACUCGGGUGAGAGAAAGAGAGAGAUUUUUUGGUUUUUCUUUGAUUUUCUGUCGAGAGAAAGCUGAAGAGACAAGAGAACGAGAGGGUUAGCGAUUUUUUUAUUUUUCUGUGAUUCCGGUCUUGGUAUAGAGAAAAUUUGGAGAGAGUGAAGAGAAAAACAAAGUCAAGAUUGAGAGAGAUCAUCGAGAAGAACUUCCGGCAAGGAUCAGAGGACGAAUAGAGUUUCUGACUGUUUAAUUUGGUGCAUCUCGUCUCUCAGAUAAUUUGAGCCGCUGAAGUUGGGGCAUCUUUUAGCUUUGAGAUACCCUCUACAAUGGGUGGAUCUAUCACGCAGAGAGAGAGGAGGAGGAGGAGGAGAGCCUUUAUUGGAUAUUGAAACACAUCUUCACAGGGUUUCACGCUCCAAGGGAAUGUGAGAAACAAGAUCCAAUAAAAGGAGAUACUUGGAGAGUGUUUCACAUGUGGGUUUCUGGACGACUGGGUCAUGCAGGCAUAUUCUCAUAUCCACAGAUAGAAAUACUGGGGGGAAAGCUUUAGCUGGCCUUCUCUUUUAACUUACCCUUUCUAUGUUUCCCGAUAAAAAUUAAGAAUCAGAACUUUAUUGGCAUGGAGCUUCCAUGUAGCAGGAUUGAAAGUUGAAACAUCUGAUUACAAAAGGAGAAAAAAGAACAAACAAAUGUAAAAGCAAAGACAAACGCUUUUUUCUUUCCCCUUUACACAUGUAUGUAAUCCUCUCUUUUUCCCA